rfam:Sphingobium sp. C100 contig184, whole genome shotgun sequence.
UGAGUCAACGGUAAGCGGAACGAAAGUGAGCAUUAAGGAGUUGACUCAUUCACUACA